UACGUGGGGGGCAAGCGUUGUUCGGAAUUACUGGGCGUAAAGGGCGCGUAGGCGGCCAUCUAAGUCAGACGUGAAAUCCCUCGGCUCAACCGAGGAACUGCGUCUGAUACUGGAAGGCUUGAAUCCGGGAGAGGGAUGUGGAAUUCCAGGUGUAGCGGUGAAAUGCGUAGAUAUCUGGAGGAACACCGGUGGCGAAGGCGGCAUCCUGGACCGGUAUUGACGCUGAGGCGCGAAAGCUAGGGGAGCAAACGGG
rnacentral:rRNA from 1 species